UAUGUGGCAUACGGCUCAGUAACACGUAGUCAACAUGCCCAGGGGACGUGGAUAACCUCGGGAAACUGAGGAUAAACCGCGAUAGGUCAUCACUUCUGGAAUGGGUAAUGACUUAAACCUAUAUGGCCCCUGGAUUGGACUGCGGCCGAUCAGGCUGUUGGUGAGGUAAUGGCCCACCAAACCUGUAACCGGUACGGGCUCUGAGAGGAGGAGCCCGGAGAUGGGCACUGAGACAAGGGCCCAGGCCCUAUGGGGCGCAGCAGGCGCGAAACCUCUGCAAUAGGCGAAAGCUUGACAGGGUUACUCUGAGUGAUUUCCGUUAAGGAGAUCUUUUGGCACCUCUAAAAAUGGUGCAGAAUAAGGGGUGGGCAAGUCUGGUGUCAGCCGCCGCGGUAAUACCAGCACCCCGAGUGGUCGGGACGUUUAUUGGGCCUAAAGCAUCCGUAGCCGGUUCUACAAGUCUUCCGUUAAAUCCACCUGCUUAACAGAUGGGCUGCGGAAGAUACUAUAGAGCUAGGAGGCGGGAGAGGCAAGCGGUACUCGAUGGGUAGGGGUAAAAUCCGUUGAUCCAUUGAAGACCACCAGUGGCGAAGGCGGCUUGCCAGAACGCGCUCGACGGUGAGGGAUGAAAGCUGGGGGAGCAAGCCGGAUUAGAUACCCGGGUAGUCCCAGCUGUAAAC
rnacentral:rRNA from 1 species